rnacentral:rRNA from 1 species
UACGUAGGUGGCAAGCGUUGUCCGGAAUUAUUGGGCGUAAAGCGCGCGCAGGCGGUCCUUUAAGUCUGAUGUGAAAGCCCACGGCUCAACCGUGGAGGGUCAUUGGAAACUGGGGGACUUGAGUGCAGAAGAGAAGAGUGGAAUUCCACGUGUAGCGGUGAAAUGCGUAGAGAUGUGGAGGAACACCAGUGGCGAAAGGCGACUCUUUGGUCUGUAACUGACGCUGAGGCGCGAAAGCGUGGGGAGCAAACAGGA